CGAACGCUGGCGGCGUGCUUAACACAUGCAAGUCGAACGCGAAAGGGACUUCGGGUCCUGAGUAAAGUGGCGCACGGGUGAGUAACGCGUAGAUAACCUGUCUUCAUGUCUGGAAUAAUACGCCAAAGGGGUACUAAUACCGGAUAUUCUUGCUUUUCAUAAGUUAUGCAAGCAAAGGUGGCCUCUGCAUAUGCUACUGCAUGAAGAGGGGUCUGCGUACCAUUAGCUAGUAGGUGGGGUAAUGGCCUACCUAGGCGACGAUGGUUAGCGGGUCUGAGAGGAUGAUCCGCCACACUGGCACUGGAACACGGGCCAGACUCCUACGGGAGGCAGCAGUGAGGAAUAUUGCGCAAUGGGGGAAACCCUGACGCAGCGACGCCGCGUGAGUGAAGGAAGGCCUUCGGGUCGUAAAGCUCUGUCAAGAGGAAAGAAGUGUACAAUGGCUAAUACCUGUUGUAUUUGACGGUACCUCUAAAGGAAGCACCGGCUAACUCCGUGCCAGCAGCCGC
rnacentral:rRNA from 1 species